UACGUAUCCAGAGCAUGGAGAUGCUAAGGGAACUGGCCCAAUGCUCCAUCCGCAACCAUCUUGCUCUUUUGAGGCGAGAACGGUGCGAAAUCCAGCCCCUCGAGGGGAAGAUGCAUC
rnacentral:ncRNA from 2 species